rnacentral:rRNA from 1 species
GACGAACGCUGGCGGCGUGCUUAACACAUGCAAGUCGAACGGAAAGGCCCUGCUUUUGUGGGGUGCUCGAGUGGCGAACGGGUGAGUAACACGUGAGUAACCUGCCCUUGACUUUGGGAUAACUUCAGGAAACUGGGGCUAAUACCGGAUAGGAGCUCCUGCUGCAUGGUGGGGGUUGGAAAGUUUCGGCGGUUGGGGAUGGACUCGCGGCUUAUCAGCUUGUUGGUGGGGUAGUGGCUUACCAAGGCUUUGACGGGUAGCCGGCCUGAGAGGGUGACCGGCCACAAUGGGACUGAGAUACGGCCCAGACUCCUACGGGAGGCAGCAGUGGGGAAUAUUGCACAAUGGGCGGAAGCCUGAUGCAGCAACGCCGCGUGCGGGAUGACGGCCUUCGGGUUGUAAACCGCUUCCGCCUGUGACGAAGCGUGAGUGACGGUAAUGGGUAAAGAAGCACCGGCUAACUACGUG